rnacentral:lncRNA from 1 species
GCUUUCGAGCUCACCAUAGACACCAGUAAAUAUAAUAGUUGGCAGUAAUUUGUCAAUUGACUUUCUACAAAUAAAAUUUUUCCAGUAAAACUAUUAUAAAUUUUUAAUUUUUUAGUCAAAUUAAAUAUCCAUUAAUGUCUCUUUGAUCAUAUCUACUUUGACAAAACAAUAUCCAAAUAUAUUUGUACAGCAAAUCUUUUGCCAAUACAAAGUCCGAGCUCUUAACAAGACUCAAAUAAAACUAAUGUACUCUAUGAUUUGAAACUCUUGAAAGCUAAUCUCAACAUGAAGUAAAGAAAUAUCUACCAAAUAUUUUCAUAACAACUAUAUAGAUGAUGUUAUUUUACCUUAAAAAUUUUAUAUUAACAAAGCUAAUGUCUAAUGUCACACCAGAAACUUAAUAUCAAGUAAUGCGAACAACGCUAACGUCAAAUUGCAUAUAUUUUUUAAUUCUAGAAUGGACAAACUAUUUAAUUUUUCUAAAAGCAAUUUCGGCUCUGUUUAUUAUUUAUACCACCUAUUUACACUUCAUUGUCGAUGCAAAUCCAGCACAGUUCACCUUCCAAUUUCAAGUUUUGAUUGACUUGUAUGAGUGUAAUUAUCUGGCAUGACUUUAUAAGCCAAAUAUGUAGAUAUAACAAGGUUCUAGCAUCAACUUCAAGAUUAGGCUACAAAAAGAAAUGGGGAUACUCCUGCAAUCCAAAUUAAAGAAAUACAGAAGACAGUGCUAUAAAUUGUACCACCUGAAAGACAUUUCCCAAUGACAUCCUACAGAUACAGGUCCCAUGCAUCCACUACAAACUGUUGCCUCCUUCAACGAAGUGGAUCAAUGAAAAUGCAUUUAAUUAAUGCAAAACAUUGAUUUUUGUAGAUAGACUUCCUAUAAUCAUCCUUCAAGUCUGACUUACUUUUGUUUUUCUUUGUCUUUAUAGCCUAACCUUUAGUUUACUUUUUCCAUAUGACAAUUUCUUACACUGUCCUUUUGCUUAUCAAAGAUAAGAAGUGAAAGGGAAGGGGGUUCAGCACUGAAUUUCACACAUAAAGAACCUCAUCUACCUUAAACGGAAAGGUUUGUUAAAACAUAGCAAUCUCCAGUCUUAGAAUUAAUUCUCUGUACUUUGUUAUAGACAAUAACAUUGACACUGAAUACUAUGAUUUCAAAGAUUUUACAUCCAAUUAUCAUCCACUUUUGUUUCGUUAUCGUCAUAUCAUAUUAUGUACAAAGAGCUAUGAUACUCGGACUCGGGUACGGAUAUCAGGUACGGAUACGUAUUUAAGCGUCAGAUCUUUUAUUUUCUAAAAUAUAGGAUACAGGGACAUGAUUAAAAAGAGUCCAAAUUUUGGACGCGGGUACAUGGGUAUGUCUUUCAAACUUCAAUUUUUUCUACUAAUCCAAGAUAUCAUCUAGAAUAGACCAAAUUAAAUUAUUCAGAAAGAAGAAAAUGAGUAUUGAAUAAAGGAUUAAAAUUAAUAAAAUAGAAUUUUGACGUUUAGUUUUCAAUCAUGAAAAUUACUAAAUGUCAUAUAAAAAUAUAAAAUGAGAGACUUGAUCGCAAUUUGGACUUAGUGGAGCACUAAGUAGCACUAUAUGAAAUUCAUUUUCAUUUUAUACAAACAAAACUCUAAACCAUCAUUACAGAGAUAGAAAGAAGGAAAUGGAAAGAAAGAAGAAAAAGAAGGGGAAUCCUAGUGCCACCGCCUUUUUCCACCCUCUCGGCGGCCACGCUAGGCUUAUAGAGAGCGAAAAAUAGGAAAGAAGAAGAAGGAAAAAAAAAUAGAAGAAGAAAAAAGAAGCAAAAACGACGAAAUGUCCGAUUGAAAUUUGGAGGAUCCGACACAUAUCCCAUAUCCAUACCCAUGUCAUGUCGUGUCGUGUCCGACACAAGUACUCCAAUUAUUUCGAAGAGUUCGAGCAUCAGAAAAAAGAGAUACAAAGGCUUACAGGGCCAUAUGCUUCUUUGUUUCGGCCACGCUAGGCUUAUAGAGAGCGAAAAAUAGGAAGGAAGAAGAAGGAAAAAAAAAUAGAAGAAGAAAAAAGAAGCAAAAACGACGAAAUGUCCGAUUGAAAUUUGGAGGAUCCGACACAUAUCCCAUAUCCAUACCCAUGUCAUGUCGUGUCGUGUCCGACACAAGUACUCCAAUUAUUUCGAAGAGUUCGAGCAUCAGAAAAAAGAGAUACAAAGGCUUACAGGGCCAUAUGCUUCUUUGUUUAGCCAAAAAACCCACUUAUGGUACUUGUAGAUGCUAAUGCUGUAACAGUUACACAUAUAACUCAGGAGCUCCAUAACUGAAAAAAUAAAGGCUAUGUGGGACAACUUUAAGAAUGAUUUUAUUACACCUGAUGUAAAUGGAUUUAAAGGUGGGCAUUACGUGGAUUGUGUGUCCAAUGAGUUUUAUAAUGAUUAAUGGUUUUUUAAGAAAGAAUCAGAUCUUAACGGAUUUUGUGAUCUCUUGGGGGGCCGAUAAAAGGUAUUUUUCUUUUAGGCAAAACAAAAACGCAGGAAACUGAUUACUGAGGAAUGUAACUUAAGUGGUAGGAAGAAAUAAAACAAAAUCGAAGUGUGUUUAUUGAAGGAAAUUUGUAAGAAGUCAACAACUUCAAUGAUUCGAGUAAGUAAAUACUUUAUUUAUUACCAAUAGGGAGGACGAAAAAUAAAUAGAAUUAUAGAAGUAUGUAAAGAAUAUCAGCAAGAAGGAAGAGGGGGAAAAAAGGGGAAAGGAAUCACUUCUAUUUAGAUUUUAGACAUGCAAUUGAAAGUAGCUAAUUUGAGCUAGAACUUCCUUAAUUACCAUAUUUGGCUACUGAAAUUUUGCAGGUGAACAAUACAUUACAAGUCAACCAGAAAGCAAGAGGGAAGAAUAACGGCUAAUCCCGCCAAAUGAAACAUAACACGGUUUCAAGCUUAAUAAUUAUCCCCCACAUUCAUCUCAACUUAAAAACAUAUAUUAGUAUAAAAAAUUGCACAAAAAUAUUAAAAAGAAAUGAAUAAUUGAGAUUAUAAAUAUGAACUAUGAACAAAGUAAUCAUAAACACGAUAAAAACGUGCAAGUACAAUGUAAUGGACUGCAUAUUUGAAAAACUCUAUCCAUAGUCUCGAUAUCAAAUGUACAUUUUUUUUUAUUGAAUUUUUGAACUCAGAAUGACAGAAUCCAAACGCUCAUUAUGUAAUAAAUCAUUUCCAAUUAAGCAUGUGGCAUCGCAAAUGAUAACUUAUUGAAAACAAGUUCUUAGAUAUGAAACAAGAUUUUAUCUCAAAAGAAGAAAUAUUUACAUUACCAGCAAGUGAGAGAUAAAAACCCCAAGUGACAGAUAGCCAAGUGCUGAAAAUAAGUACAGAGCAUACUAAGCGUGUUCAACUACGGUAUCUUACAUCUUCAAACGUGACUGAUGAAAAAAAUUGGACCCAAAAAAAGAUUCUCUUAAUUUCAAAGUCAACAAAAUAAAAAUUGAUAAGUUCCGCUGAGAUAUAAUCCUUCAACACACUGACUGGUGAGUGCAUCUGCACACUCGUGCAUUUAAUUCUUUCCAAAAUUUACAGCAUAAAAGGGUCUCAAGGAAGUAUCAUCACUGUCAGUGUGCGUAACAAAGAGUACGUGGAAUAGAAAAUAUAAAUAAAAACUAAAGGAGAUGGAUAAGAGAAUAACCUUCUCUGGACACUUAAACGGAAUUUCCGGCAAUAUGGCUAGUCUGUGAGUGAGAUGCGGUGAUCCGGACGAGGGAGAGAGAAGAGACAGUAGGACGAAUAAGUGUUGUCGAAAGGAGAAUCAGGGCAGCUAUUUAGCUGUAUUGGGGAGAAGUGACGCAGGAAAGGCCGACGGAGGGAUAUUGACGGAGAAGGAAGGUUGAAAUUCAAUUGGGAACGAUGGUGGUCAUUGAAUAAUGAUUUUCUUUUUCUUCCGCCUCCUGACGUGUAAAUGGAGUAAAUUGUCC